GACGAACGCUGGCGGCGUGCUUAACACAUGCAAGUCGAACGGAAAGGCCCUGCUUUUGGGGGGUGCGCGAGGGGCGAACGGGGGAGUAACACGUGAGUAACCUGUCCUUGACGUUGGGAUAACUUCAGGAAACUUGGGCUAAUACCGGAUAGGAGCUCCUGGGGCAGGGUGGGGGCUGGUAAGUCUCGGCGGUUGGGGAGGGACUCGCGCCUUAUCAGCUUGUUGGUGGGGUAGUGGCUUACCAAGGCUUUCACGGGUAGCCGACCUGGGAGGGGGACCGGCCCCAUUGGGCCUGAGCUACGACCCAGCCUCCAACGGGACGCAGCGGUGGAGAAUAUUGCCCUAUGGGCGGAAGCCUGAUGCGACAACGCCGCGUGCGGGAUGACGGCCUUCGGGUUGUAAACCACUUUCGCCUGUGACGAGGAGUGAGUGACGGUAAUGGGUAAAGAAGCACCGGCUAACUACGUG
rnacentral:rRNA from 1 species